GUGAGAGAGAAAGAGACAGAGAAAAGAGAGAGAGAGAGAGGGCGCAAGUGAGAGAAAGAUAGACACAGCAUCUGCGUGCAGUUAGUGCGGCUAUGUUGGAGCCCUGGCAAGCCCGCUGCACUCGGAAUUAACGGAUAACAGCACAGCCAUCCUAUGCUGCAGAGUUUGAGAUUGGCCGAAUUUUAUUAUUUUUAAAAUAACGCAUCUGGAAUACAGCAUACGAAAUAAUGGAGACGCAUACUGGAAUUAUUAAACCAUACUUGUUCAGUUUUUGAAUAAAACUGCCCCCCUCCAAUUCAUAGCGUGUUUAAACCGUCAGUUAUUUCUUUUUUUUUCUUCUUACGUUGUGUAUGUUUUCUGUUUGUUUUCCUUGUGUUUAUUUUUAUAUUUUGUACGACUGUUUUUUAAAAUUAUUCUUAGUUGAAUGCGUUUGUCGGAGAUCAGGGGCGCUCCGCCAGUUGCAAGACGGAGGGAAGAUUUGGUGCUGCACCAGUAAAUUAUAUUCACUCUCCUCAACAGAGACGUAUCAGAAAUGGGAAACUUCAAUAGGAUCUUCGGAACAGCACGGAAAAUAAUGAAUAACUACUGCUAACAGCGAUCAGGACAAAUGACAUAGGAUGAACACUGCUGGCCGGCUCUGUCUGUCUGUGCUGUUGUCCCUUCUCGCACUGGCCUGGCCUACGGAGCUGCCGGGCCAGGGUCCCCCCUGCUCCUCGCUUGCGGCAGGGGUGCUGUACGGCUCCUUCUCUCUCAGGGACCUCUUCCCCACCCUGGCCGCAGGCUGCUCCUGGACCGUGGAGAACCCUGACCCCACCAAAUACUCCCUCUACUUCCGCUUCAACCGUCACGCGGGAGCCUGCCUGAGCUUCCAGCCCUCCGUGCUGGCGCUGGACCACUACCUCGCCAACCAGACGUGUGCCGUCCCUCCGCCGGCCGAGCAGCGCCCCCCAGAGGUGGUGGAGCUGUGUCGGGGCACCGGCGCCCAUACUUUCCUACAGUUCGACAAGAACUUCGUCCAGCUGUGCCUGGCUGGUGAGCCGGAGCCAGGGGAGGCACCGGUCGGCGCUGAGACCCUUGCGUUCGGCCUGGUGGAGCUGCUACUUGUCAAUAACGAGAACUCCAGCCGCUUCACCUGCGCUGUGCUGUGCCGCUGGUUCGAGGAGUGUCUGCACGUGGGUCGCCCUGGCGAGCGCUGCGGCCUCACGCAGACAGGCUGCGCUUGCCCCGAUGUGGCCCCGCCCCUUCCACUACUGCCCGCCACGCCCCACAACGACACAGCCUCAUCGUCUUCGUCCGGCUUCUUCUUGGAGACGCCCGACAGCUGCUGCGUCACUGAGCUGCACUCCAAGAACGUCAUCGCCGUAGCGCCCAGGGAUGUCAGGCAAGACCGCGAGGAUGAAGACCAGAAGGUGAAGACGCAGAGGCCGAGGUCAGCAGACCAGCCCGGCAUCUUCCAGGCCCAGACAGGCGACCCAGCGGCGGAGUCCUGGUCUCUGUGGAGCGUGUGCUCGCUGACAUGCGGUCAGGGCUGGCAGGUGCGCUCACGGUCCUGCGUCUCGUCGCCGUACGGCACGCUCUGCAGCGGGCCGCUGAGAGAGACCCGCCUUUGCAACAACAGCGCCACCUGCCCAGGUGAACCGCCACGGCAGGCAGUGCAUGGGCUGUGGGAGGAGUGGUCUCCGUGGAGCCUGUGUUCAGCCACGUGUGGGAGGGGCUCUCGGACCCGGACCCGAAGCUGCGUGGCCCCCCAGCAAGGCGGCAAAGCCUGCGAUGGUUCAGACCACCAGUCCAAACUCUGCAAUAUUGCGGUUUGCCCCGUGGAGGGCCAGUGGUUGGACUGGAGCCCCUGGUCCCGCUGCAGCGUGACCUGUGACACGGGGACCCAGCAGCGGCAACGGAGGUGCAGCGUGUCGGUGCACAGCUGGGCUGAAUGCAAGGGGGCGCAUUCUGAGACCCACGAGUGCAUCAACCCGGAAUGCGGCAGCGACGGGAAGUGGGGGCCCUGGAACCAGUGGAGCGUGUGUUCCAAGACCUGUGACUCUGGCUGGCAGCGGCGCUACCGCAUGUGCCAGGGCACGGGGGUGCAGGGCUACCCAUGCGACGGCUCCGGGGAGGAAGGACGCGCCUGCAAUGACAGGAAGUGCCCAGCGCCUCACGAGAUCUGCAAGGAUGAGUACCUGGUGUCCAUGACCUGGAGAAGAGCCUCAGCAGGAGAAACUGUUUACAACAAGUGUCCAUCAAACGCAACUGGAUCUGCUAGUCGUCGAUGUUUGCUGGACGCUAAUGGAGUUGCUUACUGGGGUCCUCCGAGCUUCGCCCGAUGCGUCUCACUUGAAUAUCGAUAUUUACAUCUAUCGUUACGAGAGCAUCUUGCGAAGGGUCAGAGGACCCUAGCAGGGGAGGGCAUGUCUCAGAUCGUGAGAAGUCUCCUCGAGUUAAUGUCCCGGAAAAAUUAUUACAGCGGCGACCUUUUAUUCUCCGUGGAGAUUCUCCGAAAUGUGACGGACACCUUCAAGCGAGCAACCUACAUCCCAGCUCCCGACGACGUGCAGAAAUUCUUCCAGGUGGUCAGUUAUAUGUUGGACAUUGAAAACCGAGAGAAGUGGGAAGAUGCUCACCAGGUCUCUCCCGGCUCAGCCCUGCUGAUGCGAGUGGUCGAGGACUUCAUCCAUCUGGUUGGCGAGGCGCAGAAGGCCUUCCAAAGCUCCCUCUUCUCCACUAACAACCUCAUGAUCACGAUCCAGCGGGAACCGGUCUCGGCCGUCUCCAGUGACAUCAACUUCCCCAUGAAGGGGCGCAGGGGGGUGAAGGAUUGGGCGCGCUACUCAGAGGACAAGCUCUUCAUCCCCAAGGAGGUCUUCACCCUGUCCUCUGAAGAAUCAGAUGACACGUCCUACUUUGUGAUAGGCGCCAUCCUGUAUCGCACGCUGGGGCUCAUCCUGCCAGCUCCUGAGAGUCCCCUCGUCAUCAAUUCCAAGAUCCUGACAGUGACGGUCCGGCCACUCCCCAAGCCCACCGAGCCCAUGGUGGUGGUUGAGCUGUCACCGCUGCUCAACGGUACAUCUGAGCCUCACUGUGUGGUCUGGGAUUACAGCAACUUAGAGGCUGGCGUAAAUGCAUGGGACACCGAGGGCUGCCAGACACUCCCCUCUCCGGCGGUCCACACCAAAUGUCUCUGCAGCAAGAUCUCCAGUUUCGCCGUGCUGGCACAGCUGCCUAAGGACCAGGAGGUGGGACCAUCCAGCAUGCCGUCGGUGCCCCUCAUGGUGGGCUGUGGGAUCUCCUUCACAGCCCUGCUCGUCCUGCUCCUCAUCUACGCCGUCUUCUGGAGGUACAUCCGUUCUGAGAGGUCCAUCAUCUUGGUCAAUUUUUGUCUCUCCAUCCUGGCCUCCAACGUGCUGAUCCUAGUGGGACAGGCCCAGACGCUCAGCAAGGGGCUGUGCGCCAUGACUGCAGCCUUCCUGCACUUCUUCUUCCUGGCGUCCUUCUGCUGGGUGCUGACGGAGGCGUGGCAGUCCUACAUGGCCGUCACCGGCAAGAUGAGGUCGCGCCUCAUUCGCAAGCGCUUCCUCUGCCUCGGCUGGGGUCUCCCGGCUCUCGUCGUGGCUGUUUCGGUGGGAUUCACCCGAGCCAGGGGCUACGGCACCCCCAACUACUGCUGGCUAUCCCUGGAAGGAGGCCUGCUCUACGCCUUUGUGGGGCCUGCUGCCGUCAUCGUACUGGUCAACAUGCUGAUCGGCAUCGUGGUCUUCAACAAACUGAUGGCCAGGGACGGCAUCUCGGACAAGUCCAAGAAGCAGAGAGCCGGUCAGCCGCUGGAGUCGCGCAGCCGGUUGCUCCUGAAAUGCUCCAAGUGUGGGGUGAUCUCCAGCACAGCGCUCUCCAGAGCCACCACCAGCAACGCCAUGGCGUCGCUAUGGAGCUCCUGUGUGGUGCUCCCCCUGCUGGCCCUCACCUGGAUGUCGGCCGUCCUGGCCAUCACGGAUCGUCGCUCCACGCUCUUCCAGGUGCUCUUUGCCGUCUUCGACUCGGUGCAGGGCCUCGUCGUCAUCACCGUGCACUGCGCCUUGCGGCGGGAGGUGCAGGACGCAGUGCGGUGCCGCAUGGGCGUGUGCAAGGACGACAGCGAGAACUCGCCCGACUCCUGCAAGAACGGCCAGGUGCAGAUCAUGACAGACUUCGAAAAAGACGUGGAUUUGGCAUGUCAAACAGAAAGAGGACACCCAUUCAUUUUUAAAGAGGUGAACACCUGCAACCCGGCCACCAUCACGGGCACGCUGUCCCGCAUCUCCCUGGACGACGAGGAUGACCCCAAGCUGGCGGCCCACCGGGAGGGCGGGGUCAACUUCAGCAGUCUCCCUGGCAACAUCCCACCACCUAACCUGCUGGUGCAGGUGCAGCCCCUAGGGGGCCUCAACGAGCUGAGCGAUCAGUCCCUGAAGAAGGAGGUGAACGUGGAGCAGCAACACCAGCGGGGGGCGCCAGUCUAUCUCUGUACCGAGAGUGGGCUAGGCUGGGCCAAACCACCGGAGGCGGGGGGCGCUGGUGAGGGGGACUACAUGGUCCUGCCCCGCAGGACUGUCACACUCAAGCCCCCGCUUGCUAAGGACGAGGGAAAGUCGCUGAACAUCACUGUGGAUGACCCACCGUUCCCCCCACCGCCCUCGCCCCUGGCGCUGCGCCCCGCUGAGAGUGAGGCCUACCCAGACUUUGCGUCGGUGGACCGUAUCAGCACGGGCCUAAACCGCUCUUACGGCACGCUGAAGCAGCUGCCCGCCCACGCGCUGCAAUUCCAGCAGCGCCCCUCCGUACGGCAGAUCCUAGCCUCCGGCACGGUCGAGAGGACCAGAACCCUGCCCCGAAACCUGGGCAGCACCAACACCAACACCAGCCUGUCUGCGGGCUCCCUGGAAAGGAAAAGAGUUCGGUACUCUGAGCUGGACUUUGAGAAAGUGAUGCACACUCGCAAAAGACACUCAGAGCUCUACCAUGAAAUCAACCACUCCACCAAGUUCCACACCAUAGACAGGUAUAGCAGAGAACCUGCCAGGUCUACCUUCAAGGUAAGCUUCUGCUCUGUGGGGCAUCGUCUCCCUCUACAGGCAAAAUAGGAACUUGCUUGCACUGCCCCCCACCCUCAACAUCGCCAUGUCAAUGCCCAACCCCCCCACAGUUUUCCACAGUAGUGGUUUGCUUCAUUUCAGUAUUUUCCUAGGAGUAUAGUAAACACUUGGAGGAAGGAGAAUACUCUGUAGUGAGUAUCAUUUGGCUGCUGCAUUAUUUCAGCAGAACAUUUGACAAACAAAUCUGGACUUUUUUUUUCUUCCUGAGAUGUUCUGCUACUGUUCUUUGAAAGUCUCGGUGUGGGGGAUUUUGAAUAACCAACAAAACAGUGUCUAAGGUGGGGUAAUGGUAGGUUCUAUUUAACAUCUUACAGCUUGCUCAGCAUGUUCAGGAAUAGCCUGUGUGCUUGAAAUGUAAUGUUCCUAAAGCACAGAGAACUGGAAAAAUGCACUGGCAUUGCAAUAGAUGUCCUCAGAAACAGAUUUUGCUAGCUGGGCUUACAGUCAGUGUUUGCAGUGGCAGAGGUAACUGUCCGCUGUGCUAAAUGCCUCCGUCCUGAUAGCCCGACAUUGACACCCAUCAUGUGUUCCACGUCCUCUGAGAUCUGAGAUGAACCAAACCAAUGACUUAGCGCUGUCUCCUUGUAUCAGCCUGGUCCUCGCUACAUCCUCUGCUGUGAAGGAAUUUAGAUGCUGUGAUGAAACCUGCUUACUCAUCUAGAUUUUCAAGCUUCUAAACAAUCACAUAAUUAGUAUUAAGCCACCAUUUGCUAUUAGAUGGUACGGUGUGACCUUGACUGCGAGCUUCCUUUCCAGUUGUUUUUACUAGUGCUGCUAAGAGGACCCCAAUCAUAAUUACAUCCAUGGUGCUAUGACUGCCUGAUUACAAUUUGCCAAAUGAAUGCUGGCAUCAUGCUGAAAUGUUUAAGCGCAUGCACAUGUGUAUAGUUUCUUUUUAGUCCAGCUUAUUUUUCAAGUUUUUUUUUUUCCAGAGUAGGGGUGUGUGAUUAAUCGUUAGAAAACACACACUGGUGAUUCCCCCGUAACUCCAGUGCCAGUUGACUGCUUGGCCACUGGCCCUGCAUGUGCACCCAUUUGCAUGCCGUGCAAAAGACAAUGGAACUAGCCAGUGUUAAUCAUUGUAGCAUCAAAAUAAUGCCAUCAGAAUAAAUUGCUCGACACCCCCCCCCCAGAAAAUUAACCCAUCACCAGUGCCUUUUCCGCUCAGUUUUGCUGCUGGCCAACGCCUAUACUAUGCGAUAAUAGUGACUCAUCACACACUGGAAGUAGAUGGUAGUGAUUCGGAACAUUUUCGUGUUCUUUGUUAUCUUAACAAGCAGAAACAAGAUUCCUACUCUCUCAUAUCCAGCAGGUAUUUCAUUAAGAUUUUAACAUUUUUCCAAUGCAGUGUUUGGUCUCCCUUUAUUGCCUUAUCUUGCCAGUAUAGGUAUAGUCCCUUUGGUGUUUAAAGCUUCUGGAUUCAUAUUUAAUUUGGUAGCUUGCAGAGUCUCCUAUUCAGCAAAUGGUUACAUUCUAUGAUUCCCAAUCAAACUUAUAAACUGAUCAUACUCCUCAAGCAGAAUAUUAAAUAGGCAUUCUGGAGUCAGGCAAUUCUUCUAUGAGCUUGUUCACUGCUUGCUACACCUUGGCCAGUCACUAGCAGGGAACUGUCAUGCGAACUCUAUUGUACGUCUCCAUUUUCGUUUAGAAUUCAUACUUUGGCCAGCAAUAAAGCAGCGCCAAGAGAUUCUAAUAUGCAGAUGAGAAGCAAAUCGGAUUAAGAAAUUCACCCUGAGCACACAGUGUUCAAAGAGGGAAGUAAAUGUUAGUAUGAUGAGCUGCCGUAUUGAGCAAGAGUUAUAAUUACCCUGAGGGUAGCCGCUGACAGAUGGCCCCUGUGGAUUUGAACCUUACCUACCCUUUCUCAAGCCUUCUACCCCUCCUCCUCCCCCACCCCCCAGGUAUCUGCAACCUUUCGGUCUUAGGGUAUUCAUUUAGAAUAUGGUGGUGGCUUGGAUUCCUGUAAAACAGUGAUUUAAAAUAAGGUGUGGAUAAUGUGUGGUAGCUGAAGACUUCACCUUUCAAAAUCAAUCAAUUGGUUCCGUCUGAAAAACCUUGUCUUGGUAUAACAUCAUGAAUUUAUCGUCAUGGUAUAAACGUAACAAAAACUGACACAAAACCGUGUCUUAAACCUCAUGUCUACUGCUCCAAGGUCGUUGCUGAGGAGCAUGCCGUUUCUUGAAUUAGUUAGCAUGUAUUAUCCCUCAGAGUCUCUAGUUACCUUUCAGUAUCUUUCAGUCCCUUGUAAAAUACAAGAUCUUUAUGUACAACAGCUACGCUUCCCGUUAUGUUGUCAACCCUAAACCCUAAACAAUACGCUGCCUCUCUAAGAGACCCAAACCUCACAUUUCCAACCUGCCCGAUGUCCCCUGACCAACCCGUCUGUCAAAGACGUUUCUCUGGCUGAAUGUUCACUCACACAGGUCCGUCCCAUUCGACUGCUGCAGCAAACAGAGCCACAAUUAGUGCGGAAACUGAGCUUCAUUUACAAAGAAAGUCAACUUUGACUCUAGCCAGGCAGUCAUCCGAACCAAGGGCGAGAAACACAAAAAAGGUAAAGAGUAAGAAAAAACAUCGUGAAUGAAGUAGAAACGUCUGCUAAAGUUAGAAAGUAGAGCAAAUACUCCUUGGCUGUCGCUCCUCAAAUUGCUCCUUUAAACAAGCCCGUCAAACCCAAUAAAUUAGCAUCUCUGUAUUCUUACUCCUCUGUUUCACCAUCCUAACCAUGCAGGGUCUGUAGUGUGCCCUCUAACCUCUGACCUCUUGCAUCCCAACACUUGUGCUAAGCAUGACUUUGUUUGACCUUUAACCUAUGACCUCCAAGCCCUUUUUCUACUCUAUACCAGCUAAAUUCCUUUAGUGUGCCUAUUUUUCAGCAUAGCUGUAAAUAAUUACGUUUAACAUUAGUGUCCCGCGAAGCCGCAUUAUUUCAUUGGCGGGGUGGGGCAUGAUGUUCAGUGGGUCAUGUGACGGGGGGACAGCGCGCACAUGUCACAACCUGUCUUCACGUCUUUCCUGUAUGUUAACUGUACUGACAGGCCACACCCACAGAUGCUCACUCGUAGGUGGGUGUACCUAUCAGCUGCCCAGCUGGUUGCUGGAACUGUGCAUGUCACUGUAUGAGAUCCAAAUCAACCAGGAAGCAGUAAGUAGCAGAGUGAACAUGUGGAUGGUGUUUCUUUGCACGGCGACAUCGUGGGAUGACGUUAGUCAUGUAGUGGCUUUGCCUGUGCAUCGCGUUCUGCUGCCUCCGCACUCUCCACAAGCUAAAGGCCCCGACCGGAAAACACUUUGUUCAACCCAAAACACCCGACAUGGGGAACAUUUCACAUGAGAAUGGACGAGGCGCUCAGCUUGGUAUAGUCACACCAGCAGCUAGGCCAGCAGCUUGGCUAUAAGUGUUGGCUUGUUUUGGGGGGCUGCCGUGGGUGGUGCACAGAGGUGCCACUGCAAGUCCCAGCCGGAUCCUGAGGUGCCAGAUCCAGUUAGUACAUCAGCAGGAAUGUCCUGCUUCCCUCUGGAAGUUGAUGUUUAUUGGUGUAAUGCAGGUUAAGUUAAGAAUUCUUGGGGGAUGUUUUUUGGCCUCUUCACAGACAGUCAGCCAGCCUAUGAAACAUUGUCCCCAUGCUACAGGGCACAGAACCACAAAGGAAGAAUCUCUGGGAUUAUCCAGUAGCCAAUCAGAUAGUACAUCAGCAGGUAUGGGUCUCUACCCCUGGCAACAGUGCCCUCUCCUCUCUGCCUGUUUUAAGCCCCAAUCUAGAACACGACUUCCU